UGCAAGUCGAACGAUGAACCUCCUUCGGGAGGGGAUUAGUGGCGAACGGGUGAGUAACACGUGGGCAAUCUGCCCUGCACUCUGGGACAAGCCCUGGAAACGGGGUCUAAUACCGGAUACGACUCGGGAGGGCAUCCUUCCGGGUGGAAAGCUCCGGCGGUGCAGGAUGAGCCCGCGGCCUAUCAGCUUGUUGGUGGGGUGAUGGCCUACCAAGGCGACGACGGGUAGCCGGCCUGAGAGGGCGACCGGCCACACUGGGACUGAGACACGGCCCAGACUCCUACGGGAGGCAGCAGUGGGGAAUAUUGCACAAUGGGCGAAAGCCUGAUGCAGCGACGCCGCGUGAGGGAUGACGGCCUUCGGGUUGUAAACCUCUUUCAGCAGGGAAGAAGCGCAAGUGACGGUACCUGCAGAAGAAGCGCCGGCUAACUACGUGCCAGCAGCCGCGGUAAUACGUAGGGCGCAAGCGUUGUCCGGAAUUAUUGGGCGUAAAGAGCUCGUAGGCGGCUUGUCGCGUCGGAUGUGAAAGCUCGGGGCUUAACCCCGGGUCUGCAUUCGAUACGGGCAGGCUAGAGUGUGGUAGGGGAGAUCGGAAUUCCUGGUGUAGCGGUGAAAUGCGCAGAUAUCAGGAGGAACACCGGUGGCGAAGGCGGAUCUCUGGGCCAUUACUGACGCUGAGGAGCGAAAGCGUGGGGAGCGAACAGGAUUAGAUACCCUGGUAGUCCACGCCGUAAACGUUGGGAACUAGGUGUUGGCGACAUUCCACGUCGUCGGUGCC
rnacentral:rRNA from 1 species